AUGAGUGAUUUUGGCAUGGCAGAAACAAAUGAUGGUAGAACUCCUAAAAUUGGACGUUCUGCUAAUCUAGAUGCUAAAACUUAUGUAUUGGUACAGGGGAAUGUUAUAGGAAAGGAAACCAUCCAAGAAUUCUUUAAUUGCGUUGGGACUUUGACUUGUGAUGAUGUUCCUAUACUUAAAAGAACUAAAACUUAUGCAGAUGCCAUUUCAGCUCUUGUUCUUAAACUUGAGAAAAGAUUUAUUCGCACUCAUCCCACUUUGCAAAGAUUGUUUUAUGAACUACAUGUGAUAAAGGAUCCUAAACCUAAUAAAAUAGCUACUUGUUUUAAGACAUUUUCUAGGCAAUAA
rnacentral:rRNA from 1 species